GAUGGCCUACGGGAGGCAGCAGUGGGGAAUAUUGCACAAUGGGGGAAACCCUGAUGCGGCGACGCCGCGUGAGUGAAGAAGUAUUUCGGUACGUAAAGCUCUAUCAGCAGGGAAGAAAAUGACGGUACCUGACCAAGAAGCCCCGGCUAACUACGUGCCAGCAGCCGCGGUAAUACGUAGGGGGCAAGCGUUAUCCGGAUUUACUGGGUGUAAAGGGAGCGUAGACGGCAGCGCAAGUCUGGAGUGAAAUGCCGGGGCCCAACCCCUGAACUGCUUUGGAAACUGUGCAGCUCGAGUGCAGGAGG
rnacentral:rRNA from 1 species